rnacentral:rRNA from 1 species
GUGGGGAAUAUUGGACAAUGGGCGAAAGCCUGAUCCAGCAAUGCCGCGUGAGUGAUGAAGGCCUUAGGGUUGUAAAGCUCUUUUACCCGAGAUGAUAAUGACAGUAUCGGGAGAAUAAGCUCCGGCUAACUCCGUGCCAGCAGCCGCGGUAAUACGGAGGGAGCUAGCGUUGUUCGGAAUUACUGGGCGUAAAGCGCACGUAGGCGGCUUUUUAAGUCAGGGGUGAAAUCCCGGGGCUCAACCCCGGAACUGCCCUUGAAACUGGGAAGCUAGAAUCUUGGAGAGGCGAGUGGAAUUCCGAGUGUAGAGGUGAAAUUCGUAGAUAUUCGGAAGAACACCAGUGGCGAAGGCGACUCGCUGGACAAGUAUUGACGCUGAGGUGCGAAAGCGUGGGGAGCAAACAGGAUUAGAAACCCGUGUAGUCC